CCCUGCCAUUUGUACACACCGCCCGUCGCUACUACCGAUUGAAUGGCUAAGUGAGGCUUUCGGACUGCCUUAGGGAGGGUGGCAACACCCACCCAGAGGCGGAAAGUUAUCCAAACUUGGUCAUUUAG
rnacentral:rRNA from 1 species